rnacentral:rRNA from 1 species
GACGAACGCUGGCGGCGUGCUUAACACAUGCAAGUCGAACGGAAAGGCCCUGCUUUUGUGGGGUGCUCGAGUGGCGAACGGGUGAGUAACACGUGAGUAACCUGCCCUUGACUUUGGGAUAACUUCAGGAAACUGGGGCUAAUACCGGAUAGGAGCUCCUGCUGCAUGGUGGGGGUUGGAAAGUUUCGGCGGUUGGGGAUGGACUCGCGGCUUAUCAGCUUGUUGGUGGGGUAGUGGCUUACCAAGGCUUUGACGGGUAGCCGGCCUGAGAGGGUGACCGGCCACAUUGGGACUGAGAUACGGCCCAGACUCCUACGGGACGCAGCAGUGGGGAAUAUUGCACAAUGGGCGGAAGCCUGAUGCAGAAACGCCGCGUGCGGAAUGACGGCCUUCGGGUUGUAAACCGCUUUCGCCUGUGACGAAGCGUGAGUGACGGUAAUGGGUAAAGAAGCACCGGCUAACUACGUG